UGUAUAUUGUCAUCAUCAAGUUGGGUUCGGUUCAAAUUCAAGGCCAAAAGUAGGAGGGCUCUGGAAUUUUCCUCCAUGGGCCCUAUCGUCGCCUUUUUUUCGCUUGUCGGUGUGAAACAUGGUCGGUCAUAUGUUGUUGUAUAUCGGAUAUUUUGUCAUUUUGUCGGAGAUUAUCAAUCAAGCAAUAAAAGUUGCAGGGUUUUGUUUGAGAUUAUUGUUGGCACUGGAGGUCCUCCCUGUCACUUGUUCAUGAUUUAUUUCCUUCCUUCCUUCCUUUCUUGCACGACGAUAACUGCCACACAUGUGGGCGUUAAGGGGUCUGCCCACACGUUUUAUAUAGUGUCUAAAAGGACCAGCCCACACGCCUACGUGUGGGCAAAACAACUAGCAUCCACACGCCUUUUUUUUCUCUUGCGGUCCUUCUCACACGUCUAUGUGUGGGCAAAAUGCAUUACUCUCACACGAUCUCCUCUCUCAGCCAUCUACCUCACAGUCCUACACGCCCCAGCGUGACAGUCACCACGUGUCCCCGCAGUUGCCAUGGUCUGGACCCUCUUCAAUGUCCGUUUACCUGUACUUGCCAUGUCGCCGAACUACAGUUGCUAUGUCGGACAACUACAGUUGCCAUGGUUGCUCAACUGCAGUUGCCAUCUCAGGUCAAGUGCCAGAUGCCAUUUUGGACAACUGCAGCUAUUGCCAUGUAUGAUUUGGUUUACUAUAGUUGCCAUGAUUUGAAAACUUUAAAGAAGUCAGCAAGGGGAAAGUCCGCUGCAUUUUUUUUCUAGAUUUUGCCUGGUCCAAUUGAAAACGGCCGGAACCAAGGAAGUAGAGAUAUCUACAACCAUCUGUUUUGCGGCAGCUACCGCUGUUGCGACUGUCUGAGGUGAUUUCUUAUCAACCGCAAUCUCAACCUUCUUGUCGAUGUUUUCUUCGGUUAACCUUCGUCUUUCCUUUCUCUCCUCCGUGUUCUCAUUGUAGUACUUCUUCCACGUGGUGCCGUCUCCGACACCAUGCACGCGUCCAUACGACGCUCGAGUAUCCACCGUGAGUCGUUUCAAUAUGUUCAACGCCCGGUUGAAUGGAGUGUCCCACUUGGGCCUCGCCCACGCCUCAGACGGUGAGUCGCUUUCAGCCUCAAUCCUAUGCUGCUCUCUCUACAAAAGGCACAAGGAUCGUUUACAAAUAUGCAUGACUAGCUACGUGUAGUCGAAUUGAUCAGAAACUAAAAUUACCAGCAGUCUCAUGAACUCCGUCGUGAGCGCGUUCAUCUUGAAAACCUUCUUCACUGGGUCCCAACGGUGCCGGGCCCUGAGGACGUCACGCUCCUGUGGGACGGUGAACUCCGCCAAGGGGUCUGCGAUGCCCAGACUCGUGGCUUCCGCGUCCUCCUUGGACCAUAUGGACCUCUUUCCACCGUAACCACGGCUUCCGAGGUGGUGGCACCCAAUGUUCCUCUAUUGAAGCCCCUUCAUGUACUUCGAUUUUUUCGGCAUCUUCGGCCUUGCAAGCCGCCUUGAAUAUUUCAAAUUACUCUGCCGUGAUUGUCGGAUUAUCCUUUACAAUCUCGGAGUAGGGUUCCUUUUUGUCGAUCCUUGCUUUCACCCUUGUUUUCCAGGCGGCCAACGCGUCGCUAAACUUGGACAUGGCGUGUUUGUUUAUCUUCUUCAUUGUCGGGUCCUUAUCUGGAUCUUUAUAAUCCUUUUCAUUUCGGCCCGGGAACAAGAAUAUCUGGUGCAGCUUCUUUAGGAGGGAGGGCCUCAUAUUAUCUAUCUUCUGUAGUUUCUCAUCGCUGAUGGUGGCGGUUGUCCAUAUGAUGCAGCCUAUUUGAUUGCCGUAGCACGUGCGCGCUUCCUCGGGCGCGGUUGGCUCAAAAUUGCCGUCGUCCACCGACGUGACCACCAGUCUAGUAGUCCUAAGUUUGUUAGGAAGUCGUUGCCUGUUUGCUUUUGGUUCUACACAGGCUCCACUCCCCGAGGCAGCGCCGGCCUCAGUCUCAGCGCCGGUCUCGAUGCCUGUCGUGGUUUUGUCACGGCAGAUGUCCUUAGCAUGAGGACUUAGUCGCGAGGCCAACGCAUCUAUGUGGUAGCUUGAGAGGGGUUGAGCGGAAUCGAGAGACGCAACACAAGACAGGGAUAUAGACAGCUUCGGGCCCCGGGAAACAUCAUCCGGUAACAACCCUACAUGCUGUUUGAGGCUAGGUCUCAUUAUCAUCAUGAGGGAGUCGCCGUAAACCGGCUCUUCUCUUUGUGUCUAGCCCUAAGAUUGUUUCUUCUUGCUUGUAGCUUGUCCCUCUUUGGGGAGCCCUGCCCCUCCUUAUAUAUGUUGAAGGGGCGGGUUACAUGUGGAGUCCUAUUAGGAUUAGGACUAGUCUAUCUCUAAUACAAACCGGAUACAAGUCCUGGUCUUAAUUCUUUGUAAGGUAAAUAUUUCUCAUGCCUUUCCUCUUAAACCGGCCCACCAUAGUAUGAACCGGCCUUCUGGGCCUUGGGCCUUGUCAUCCGUCUGACCCGCCCGCCGGGUUACCAGUAAGUCAUAAUGACCAAGAGGGUUGCUUGUAAACCGCCAGGUCAGGGCGGGUCGCCAGUAACUCGCCAAGUGUCAGCGGGGUCUUCAGAUAAACCGCCAAGUCCGGCCGGGUUAACUUCCGGCCGGUUUACGCCGCGGGGUAUAUCCCCGACAUUAGCCCCCAGUUUAAUUUGGAUUUAUCCAUGUUAAACUGAUCCUGUAAAACAAAUACAAGAACAAAUUUGACAGACUAUGCUUGUAAACCGGCAUCUGAUCAUUCUGAAGUCCUUGUCAUUUCCUUCUUCUAGAAAAUCCGGGUCAAUAAACCAGCUUCAUACUCAAAUUGCUGACGUUGGUUUCUCAUAGAAAAAUAUUGUGAAGAAUAAUCCACUUGAGUCGGCUUCCAAAGCGCCGGUUUAAGAAAUUUUGGUCUUGAAAUACUCAUCUGAUAUUCGGCCGGUUUGAAGAUGUAGAACUUGCCGGUUUAUCAUUACCAAAAUUGCCGAGUUAUAAAAACUGAUAAUUCCGGGUCAUGAUUGUUUCUAACGCCGGUUUAUGAUUGUGGCCAACGUCAGUUCAUGAUUGUUGCCAACGCCGGUUCAUGAUUAUUGAUAAUGUCGGGUUGUAGACACAAGGUCAUAAUAAUUGGUGACACUGGGUCAAUCUGGUUUGCUCAAAACAGAGAAUUUGAAAAUAUUUCUCCGAUAAUAAUAUAAUACCUGUAGCCCCCAAGUCUUGAGCAGAACAAAGUGAUGGCUUAAGACUUGCUUCAAUAUAAAUACUGCCACUUUUGAAGAAAUCCAUGUUGUUCAUCCCAGUCACUAGUAAAAACUGAAUACUCCAUAUUAUGUAGCCCCCAAGGGCCGGGUUGUCAUGCUUGCAGCAACCUGGGACUUUGUAAUUGUCUGAUGCUCAAAAACUUCAACCAGUGUAACCCCCAAGGGCCGGGUCGUUAUGCAAUAAUAAGCAGGGACUUUGUAAAUAUAAUCAUGUAGACUUAAGAAGUGAUGUGUAGUCCCAAAGGGCCGGCUCAUUAUGAUGUGAUGAGUCGGGUCUUCAAUAAGGCCAAAAAAAUGACUUUGCAUUAGCCCCCAAGUGUCAUGGUGCAUGCUUGCAGCGACAUGAGACUUGCAUGGAAUCUCAGUUUGAAUAAUGUAGCCCCCAAGUGCCGGGUCGUAAGCCUGCAGCGACUCGGGACUAUUCCUUCCAUUGUAGAAUAUAUCCUUUGAUAAAAUAAUAGCCAUUGCGCUAAAGCGACUUUGAAAACCUCAAUAAUACCGGUUAUUAAUAACCAUAAUAAAAUCCAGCCAUGUUGGCUAUUCAAGAUAAUAUAAUCCGGUAUGAAAACCUUAUUCAUUCAAUAUCAUAAUGAAAAUUCAGCCAAGUUUGGCUGCUUGAAUAAUAUAACCCAAUGAUUUAUAAGCGCAUGAUUCCAAUGGUGCAAUUCGAAUAUAUACUGGCGACUUAUAGUCCAAAGCCAGGCCGGUUUAAUAAACACCGGUGGCGUAUAAUCAUGCUUUAUUCAACCUAUUUCUGCAUACAACAAGUUUAAAGUGUUCUGACGGUUUACCACCGGACGGGUCAUAAUGCCCAACAUAUAACCCAGGUUUAUAACCAAGGCUGCACUUAAGAAUAAUCAAAUAUGAAAUAUAUCAUACCUGUGACAUUGAAUCACAUUGUUGGUUUACCAACUUUUUGUAAUAGGGGUAAUAACCCAAAUUUUGAGUACUGAUAACUCCUUCCAUAUUGUGCCAGUUUAUGAUAAAACCGUACCGGGUUUGUGAUAAACACCGGAUUAACCAUAUAUAAUACUGGUGACUUGUAGUCAAACCAGACCAGGCUGAUAGUCUCCGGAUUAUAACUUGAUCGUGUACUGACAACUUGUAGUUGAAAGCCGAGCCGGGUUGAUAAACACCAGUUUACUCCAUAAUAGGAUGGUAACAGAAAAUCAAACCGGGCAGAUAGCCUCCGGAUUAAGAUUUGACCGUGUUCAGUCAAUUUGUAAUUUGAUAGUCGAACCGGUUUAAGAAUUGUCGGUUUAAAAACUCAACAAAAGAAAUAUUUAUCAAAACAAAAUUUCAAGCAAAGGCAAUGAUAAAACCAUUUGCAAAAAGAGGCUAUUGAGCCGAUCAAAUGGCGUUACCAUGGUCGGACACGACCAAGCCCCCGAUAGGCGUAGCUAUGGUUCAAGUCAGCCAGGUCCCCAAAUGAAACAGUGGCAUUAUGCCGAUCAAAAGGCGUGGCAACGGUUCGAGUUCGACCAAGCCCCCAAGUGAUUCUGUGGCCUUAGGCCAAUCAAGAGGCGUGACUAUGGUUCAGACGUGACCACAAGUCCCCAAGUGAUGCAUUGGCAUUAUGCUGAUCAAGAGGUGUAGCGAUGGUUCGGGUUCGACCAAAGCCCCCAAGUGAUGCUGUGACACUAGGCCGAUCAAGAGGCGUGACUAUGGUUCAGGCGUGACCACAAGUCCCCAAGUGAUGUUGUAGCUUUACGCCUAUCAAAAGGUGUUGCUAUGGUUCGGAUACGACCAAGCCCCCAAGUGAUCAAUAAUAUGAUAAGCCAAUAAGGCAGGAUACCCAUGUUUGAACCGCGCAUCAUGGCAGCAGGUCCUCUUUGGCACCCUUUAACUUUUUGCAAGAGAUAAAUCCUUCUUGAACCGGGAUUUUGAACCGGAUAUUGAGAGCUUCAAAGCUUUGUGGGAGAUAUCUUUCCCUUGAACCGGAUUAUAAACCGGAAUCUUCAUUUUCAGCCAAAAACUUUCUGACAGCCUUCCAACUCGAACUUGCGAGAAGUUAAUUCCUUUUUGAACCGGACAUUUUUAAACCGGAUUUGAGCCAGAUACCAAGGGCUUCAGCUUUGUGUAGGAGACAGGAUUCCCCUUAAAUCGGAUUAUAAACCGGAAGCAUCAUUGUGAGCCGGAAUAUUUCUGACGACCUUUAAAUUUUCAUCAAUAUAGCAGUAGCCCCCGGGACCGGGUUAUCUUUCCCUCCAUCGUCCUGGGUUUCUUAAACCGGCUUAAACUGGCAAGAUUUGCUGAGUCAUGUCAUCAUAGCCCCCGAGUCUCAAAGGUCACUCGAGGAGUUGGCUUGAGACUCUCCAUAUUUGACCGUGAUAUAAACCACAAUAACUUGUAUAUCAUUGAUGUUGAUAGCACGAUGUGAAUCCACAGAAGGUUGAGGUGACUGCAACAGGUUAUAAAUGAUCCCGUAUGAGCCGUGUCAGCAACUCGGCCAAUGGUUCCUUCCAACUGGCGAUUUGAAGUUAACCAAACUGUAGUGGCGGCGACUUGUGCGCCUGCUCAUUGAGCCAUCCAGUGCAGACGGCGGUUGAUAAUAAAUAAUAAUUUGCCUCCAUUUUGUUGAAAGAAAACCGGGCUACCCAAGUUGUGACUUGCUCAAACAGCUCAUGCAGACAGGUGCGGCCCAGUGUGUUGAUGUAGACUAGGCCGCGAGAGACGAACGCCAAAGACGACCUCAGCAUCAGGGGUGGCAUAGAUGAGUCGGCCACGACGCUGUACGCCGGUGCGGACAAGCAAGUUGUCCUCCUCGUUCUAAACCGGCACGGACGCGUGAACCGGCUGCGAGAGCGGACGGGCGAGUCAUCCGUGGUGUUGUAGGCUGGUGUGGAUGCGCGAGUCAAUCAUAGGCGCAGUCCCAGCUAGUUGAUGUAGACCGGACCAUUGCAUGAUGAGUGGCGUGUUUGCCUGUGAUGUUGGUCAGCCCCCGGCAUGUUGAUAGUUGAAUGCCCAUCUAUUAAGAACCGUGGUGCAGAUGGGGAAAAUCGGCACCGGUGUCGUAAACCGGCACGGACGGGCGAGUUAAUCGCGGGCGCGGUCCCAGUAAGCUGAUGUAAACCGGGCCACAGGGAUGACGACUUGCACACGUUCAUUCAUCGGGUGAUAUGACACGGACGAAACGCCGGUGCAGAACGUUGCUAGCGUGUUCUCCGUGCCCGUAAUAUGACGCCUUAUUUGUAAUGAGUAAUUGUCUUGCAUCAAAAAAUACCACAUGCCAAAGUAAUUGUUCACAUAAAAAUUAAUAUAUGCUAUGGAAACAAAAUCGGACGGAUAUCACCUGAUGUUUGUGUCUGACAGAUGAUCUGUACGCCGCGUCAGAGGCAUUUCGGUGGUUCAGACAGACCGGCGAGUCCUGGCGACUCAACACGGCAGAGGCAGCUCCACGUGGCCCUGACGAUUUAACACGGUGGCGACGGCGACAUUGGGAUGAAGCCUUUUCAUAAUUGUUUGUGUACUGACACCUCUUUUUCUUUUGUUCGAGGGGCAGCCAACUUGCCGUACCACCAACAAUGAGUAGUCUCAGACCCUUCUUAAUUAAAAAUGGUCUUGAGCCUUUGAAACUUGGCAUUCAACUUGUGCAGCACCUUGCUAGGAGACUCCUUAAAAAUCUGUGCAAACCAGAGUAACGCGGGCAGUGAAGAGCGCUGCGGCGGCUCGGCGGGACAGCAACAGUGGGCGGCCCGUGGCGGCGACUCAAAGCCCGGUCGGUGCGGUGGCUCUGUAAUGGCUCACGGCAGCGGCUGUGGACUCAGCAGGGACCGGGUCUCGUGCAACCAUGGCAACAAUUUCAGGCAGCUCGACGGCGCGUGACAACGACGGUCGAGCAAGAAGAGGUCAACAGAGAUGCAGUAAGGCGCAGCAGAAGCAACGCUCAGAGGCGGCGGGUCAAACUUGAAGCAGGACGACCACAACGGCGGUUUGGAACACCGGUGGGGGCGGCUCGAAGGCCGCGACGGUUGUAGCAGAAGCAUACUGGUGAAACGGUGGCUCAGUAGAGGCUCCGGCAGGACCAGGCGGCUCAACGCGGGACAGCCCGGAAGGCGACCGGACGGCUCACGGCGCUGGGCGACUCAGCGGGCGACGGGCUGCUCGCGCCGGGCCGGCUCAGUGGCUCGGCGACCGGCGGUUCGGACGACGAGGGCGCGACGGCGGCGACCAGCCUAGAGGUGAUGGGAGGUCGUCUUUGGCGGGUUGGCGAAAGCGAUGGUGCGGCCGGCUUCGACGAGGUUGGAACGAGGGAGGCGCCCGGUUCAGUGGCGGUGAAUCAGGCGCAUCCAACAGAGAGGCGACAGGUUGAAUCAGGUCGCAAGAAAUCAACUCCCAUCGCGGCUCAGUAAACAGGCGUGGAGGCGCUGCGGCGACUCUGGCGGAGGAUCGAAUCCACGUCCACUUUCGUACUGGGGCCGGCUUAAUCGACUCUCGUCCGUGUCCUCCUUGCAGUCGUGGUCAGUCGUGGUCUCAUCGACGUGGUGAUUUGACAGCUUGAUGGAUUCGGAGAUGUGCACAACCCGCCGAGAAAAAUUGACCGCACCCGCCGGAUUGCACAGUGACAUGAAGAUUAAAAUCCUGUUGGCCGUUUGUCUCGGCAGAUUGCCCGACGACGGCGACGGACCAGUUGUAACCCUAAAUUUCUUGAACCUUUAAUCGUUACAGAUCUCAAAUCCGGACUGAUGAACUUGAAGUUGGUACAAAUCCCUCCAAACCAGCUCAUCCGGAAAAUUGCAAAACUUCUUGAUCCUUGGGAGAGAUCCCUCCAAGAACUCAACACCACCAUGCGCGGGCCCCACGGUGGGCACCAACUGUCGUGGUUUUGUCACGGCAGAUGUCCUUAGCAUGAGGACUUAGUCGCGAGGCCAACGCAUCUAUGUGGUAGCUUGAGAGGGGUUGAGCGGAAUCGAGAGACGCAACACAAGACAGGGAUUUAGACAGCUUCGAGCCCCGGGAAACAUCAUCCGGUAACAACCCUACAUGCUGUUUGAGGCUAGGUCUCAUUAUCAUCAUGAGGGAGUCGCCGUAAACCGACUCUUCUCUUUGUGUCUAGCCCUAAGAUUGUUUCUUCUUACUUGUAGCUUGUCCCUCUUUGGGGAGCCCUGCCCCUCCUUAUAUAUGUUGAAGGGGCGGGUUACAUGUGGAGUCCUAUUAGGAUUAGGACUAGUCUAUCUCUAAUACAAACCAGAUACAAGUCCUGGUCUUAAUUCUUUGUAAGGUAAAUAUUUCUCAUGCCUUUCCUCUUAAACCGGCCCACCAUAGUAUGAACCGGCCUUCUGGGCCUUGGGCCUUGUCAUCCGUCUGACCCGCCCGCCGGGUUACCAGUAAGUCAUAAUGACCAGGAGGGUUGCUUGUAAACCGCCAGGUCAGGGCGGGUCGCCAGUAACUCGCCAAGUGUCAGCGGAGUCUUCAGAUAAACCGCCAAGUCCGGCCGGGUUAACUUCCGGCCGGUUUACGCCGCGGGGUAUAUCCCCGACAAUGCCGGUCUGAGUCUCAGCGCCGGUCUCAGUCUCAGUGCCGGUCUCAGUGUUAGCACCGGUCUGCGUGUCGGUCUCAGUCCCCGAUGCAACCGGUGGCCCCAGCAACAAUAUCGGUUGAUCAUCGGCAAGGCUCAAAAAUUCAUCUGCCGCCAGGUAGACGUCGUUGCAAUAACCAGAACCAUGUCCUUCAUCGUUGCUAGCCAUGUGUCCUACGAUUAAAUCUAGUCAAUUAAUUCUAGACCUAAUAAAAUGAAUAAUGACAUAAAAAAGGCCUAUGUUUUGCAGGAACGUUGACUCCUUCCCGGUGCGGCAAAUCCCGGGCACUCGAUAUGUCCUAGUUUGUAGCACAAGUCAUGCCGAAAUUCACGGAAAAUUUCGGCAUGACCUUUGCUAGAAAGUGGACAAAUCGAGAACCUAAAAUUUGCCGGAACGGAAAUAAAUCAACAUUCCGGCAAAACAUAUGCCACUCAGCUUCAUUCCCUGGAAACAACAAAAGGCCACUUGGGAACAAUCGAAACAUGGGCAAACACAGUUGAGGAAUUUGCAUAUAUUCUGACCACUUCAAAUUUGCAUGUCCUAGCGUUUGACACUUCAAGAAAAUCUACACAAAUCUCAUGCUCUCUCGAACUCAAUUCAAAAACCAAAUAUAGAUUAUAUUUAGUUAAGUACUGAACUAAACUUUACUCUAAACUAAACCCUACUACCCUAAUUAACAUCUAGUUAAACAAACUCAAUUCAAAAACUAAACCCUACUGAACUAAUUAACAUCUACAUUAUCUACUACUUAACAUCUAUUAUUACCCUAACUAAAAAACAUCAACAUUAUCUACUACUUAACAUUAACAUCUAUUAACUAAAAAGGAUGGGUGGGGGCUUACAGAGAGGGGAGAGACGGUGGCGGGGAGGUGCUCGGUGAUGGAGGUAGGGGCGGCGAGGGCGAGCUCAGGAUCGGGACACGGCGGUCCUGGCGGGCUCGGGGGCGGUGAGGUCGAGGGCGGUGGCGGUGAGGUCGAGGGAGGCGACGGUGAGGUCGAGGGAGACGGCGGUGAGGUCGAGGGAGGCGACGGUGAGAUAGAGGGCGUCCCAAGAGGCGGUGGCGGUGAGGCUGGGCGGCCUCGGGCGGCGGCCGUGAGGAUGAGCGCGGUGUCGACGCCGGCAGGAGAUGGCGGCGAAGUGGGGGCGACGGUGAAGUGGGGGAGACGACGGCGAAGCAGGCGAGGGAUUGAUUUGGGGGAGAAGUGAUGGCCGGGAGGAAACCGUUUUUGGUUAAGUCAAUAGUAACGAUAGCGCGUUACAGAAAACGCGCUAUAGCUAAGUUAGCCAUAGCGCGUUUCAGAUAACGAGCUACUGCUACGUCUUCCUCAUUUUUCCCUUUUUCAUUUAUUUUUCUUUAUAUUAUAUAUUUUUUCUUUCUCCUUUUUCUAUUUCUUUCAUUUUCAUUAACUUUUCUAUUCGUUUUUCAUUUUAUUUUAUUUUCGUUAGCAGUAGCGCUUUAAGCAUAAACGCACCGCUAUAAGUAUAUUAGCGGUAGCGCGGUUUCUGGAAGAUCGCUACUGCUAUGUGUAGCCCAUCGGCUAAGUGAUUGGAAUUUUAGUAGUAACGAGUUUUCUGUGAUACGCGCUACUGAUAUAUGUCCAUCUGCAGCGUGCUUAUUUUGCACGCGCUACUGCUGUCUAGCAGUAGCGUGCUUUUUUAACAAGCGCUACUGCUAAAGUUCUGUGUAUAACGUUUUCCCUAGUAGUGUGUAUGUGCACCACAAUAUCCCAUUGAGGUAAGAUAAGGAUAUUUCACAACUGUUGGCCUGUAUUUUGCCACUUUCAUCAGAAAAUUAAUGUCAUUGUUUAGUGCUAUACUUGUGCAACCUAAUUGACAUGCCAAAUCUUACAUUGAAGGCGAAGCUUGUCUGUUAUUGAACCAAGUGAUGAAGGGGAAGAACAAGCGGAAAAAAAACAAAAAUCAACUCCUGGUGCUGUAAAGAAGCACUGGAACUGUGAUGACACAAGUAAUGAUAUAGUUUUGCAUCUUAAUUUAUUGCUAUGGCUGGAACGAGCAAUUGUUUUGCCACUGAUUUGAUGCCACUCUUAAUGUAAUACGUAAUUAUCUCUACUUGUGCAAACAGGGAUCUUAUUUGAAGAUACCAUAUAUUUUAGUGGAACUGCACAAGAAAAUGUUGGAAACAUUAAUCUAAUCGAGGAGUAUAUAGUAAGCAUGGCCACCACAGUAGAUAGCAACAGAUGGUUCCGGAGAAGUGCUUCAUCUGUAUGCUCUAGACAAUAAGCCUCCUGACAAAGGUGGAUACUCGCCCACUGAUUUCAUCCAUAUGAUUGAGCUUUGUCAUCUCUAUUGGUGUUGUGCUACUGUUUAGAUACUGUCAUCAAAAAGUGGUAUUGUCCUUGAUAAGUGCUUCAUCUGUGCUGUUUUAAAUAUUUUCUUUCCUUUUUUUUCGAGCAAACAGGGAUGCUAGCAUUUAGUUAUCCUCUUGUCUUUGCACAACAGGAUCAUCCUCCUCUGAAGAAGAACAUGAAGUACGUGAAGUGACUAGUUUCGAUUAUGCCAGGAUGAAGAAGCCAUGUCUAUCUUCUCAUCAGAAGGAGCAGUUGAAGGAUGGUUACAUUACCCCCCACAAGAUCAAACUAACUUCAGCUCAGAAGGACUGACAAAUCUCCAUUUUCUUGCUAUGAUGCGCGAGUACAAUGUUGUUCUAGGAUUCUUUCCGGUGAGUUCCAUUUUUCUAAAAGUGUGCUCUACAUGGACCAUGUAGGUGCCUGUUUAAACUGUCAAUUCAUAGUACAGUUUGUUUUAUACUAAUCACUUUUUUUGUAUUUGUGCAAACAGGGGUGCUCAGCUUGAUUUCAAUGGGAACUGCACAAAAUGUUCAUGAACACAUCGAAUCAUUCAUUUCCACCACAAGAAAGGAGGUGUCGAUAAGUUCAAGGCAUUGCAACAUAUAAGGGCGAAAUCAUACAAGCUACACGCGAAUUUGGUUGAUUUUGGUGGAACUGCACAAAAAGAACAGCUGGCUUAUUUAGCACGAGGUGCCAUGUCAAUGUCCGAACUGAUGGCAAACCCUGCCCAUUCCACAAUCGUAGGCAUUUGAUAUUUUGGAAUGGGAAAACCUUGUCAAAUUUUGCUCAUUGAUUUUAGCAAGAAGAAAUGCGUUUGAUAUUUUCGAAUGGGACGCCCUUUGCUGUCAGCAGCGUCGAUCCAUUUUUUCUUUAUUCUUUAAUUGUGAAGUAAAUAUUGACUUUGACAUGUGAAUCACUGAGAUGCAUAAUCAUCGAUUGUUUUGAAUGUUCUCUAUGAAUUGCCAGGCCUGUGUGUUUGAUUGCAAUGUACAGGAACGCUAAAAAGCUGCCCAAACUCUUUGUACUCCUUCUGUUCCUUUUUACUUCGAACAUUGUGAAAGUGCAUACUUUUUUCUAUAAGAUUGGUCAAAGUAGAGAUACUUUGACUGCAGACAAAACUUGUAUGCAGACUAGAAAGGACCGGAGGGAGUACAUGUGAAACUACUGCAAACAAGGUGAUCACCCUGGGAAUAAUGCUAGUACGUAUUGUUUUGCAUGUUCUCCAUUGGGACGUCGUCGUCCUCUGGUUGCCUGCCGGCUAGCCAGUCAGCAGCAAUGGCUGCCAUCUCCUUGUGGUUCGUCGUCCUCCCGCCCUGAAGAGCACUGAAGCGUGAGGAAGCCAUGGUGGGCAGUAGUGGUGUGGACAGGAGAAUAGGAACGGAUGCGGAUGACUGCGGCUAUGGCCAGCGUAGCAGUUUAUAUAGCAAUGGUGGGCUACGGAGGAACGGACGUGUGGCGCCGGAGUAGCCGCCUCGGCAACUGCGUAUCAUUAAUGUGGGCGGCAGAAGGACGGACGGACGACACUUGUGUCGGUUGAAGGCGGAGCAAUCGCAUGCACCGGGAAGCGGGGCGGGCGGCGCUGACCGUUUCGAGCGGAAAGCACACGCGGGCGAGGGAGGCGGUCUGGGUGGGCUAGGGCAGGUAGACUCGUGCUUGGCAGCGGGUCGGUCCAGCAGCCAGACAUGCUGGCUCGUCAGCUACCUCGUCGAGCUGAGCGACGACAAUCAGACGAUGGACGUAGCUUCCGACCAGGAGCCAGCGCCAUAAGCCGGUUCAUGCCGUGUUCACCAUAGAGCAGGUGCGGCCGCACUUCGACGCCCUAAUGGCGGAAGAGCUACCAGCGCAGGAGGACCUGUGCUGCAACCUCCGUCACCUCAAAGAGCACCGGUGAACAAGCGAACGACAAUGCCGUUGUGGACAUGUGGCCCUAUGAUCCUGGCUUCCGGAAUGAGCAGCGGGCGCUGUAUCAGACCAUCCGUAGGGCCCGCGAGGCCCUCUCCAUCGUCCUUCGAGUUGUUGCGCUCGCCGUGGCACCGCCGUCUCGCGUUGUCAACAUGGUCAACGUACAUGAGGAUGAGAAGAUGACUUUACUUGGAGAGGAUGACUGUGGGGACCCACCAGUACCAUAACCACACGUACGCAAGUGCCUCCUUAUUAGUAUAUAAAACUAUAUAUUUUUUUGCUUCCUCCUGGUUUCCUGACAUCACGGUCCCACAUCAUUGUCAACCUAUGUAGUCAAUAAACGAGAGAAUUGCAUAAUAAGCGGCCGACAGCUGGGACCAAGCAGCUCGAGCAGUAUUUUAGUUUUUGAGGUGCGAGCACUGCAGAGUUUUUCUUGAGCGAUGUUUAGCCCAGAUAUUAAUUUUUCUCCUCUGAACAACAACGAAAACAUGUUGCAGCUAUUAACUAGGCGGGUUGUGGCCCGUCUAGACCAGGUCAGAUAUUCAGCCCAGAUAUUAAUUUUUUUCAAGCUGAAAAUGGCUAGCCCAACUAUACUUUUUUUAGAAUACCCAGGCAAGGUCAAGUUGUUAUUCUCCGCCCCGCUGGGCAGUAAAUCUUUUCUAGGAGGGAUGCAUUAGGUUUAACAAGAAAAUGAGUUUUAAGAAAUAAUAAAUGGGAUGUAAUUAUAAAAACUAGACAGUAACUAUAAAAAAUGCACCAAACAAGUAAUUACUUUAUAAAAUAUUAUUUUUGGAUAUUGAAAAUUUUAAUUUCAUUAAUUGUUGCGAGUGCUAUGUUUUGUUGGAUUUUUACGUAACAUAAAUUUAUAUUGAAAUUGUAUUUAAUCUGACUAGAAAUUUCGGUAUAAAAAUAUUUUAGAUCCCAUCAAAAUGUGGGAAAUUUUAUUGAAUUCUGUUUUGAACGGUUGGUUGAAAUGGGCUGUACUUUUAACAAACUAUAAAUGGGUUGUAGUAAAUUUCAUUAGAAUUCAAAAAUUGGCUGCACAUUCUUACAAAUCUCAAAUGGGCUAUAAGUUCUCUGUCACACACUUGUGGCCUUACUAAGUUGACGCGUCCCCUCAAAAAAAAUAAUUGACGCGUAUGCAUUGUCAACUUAUAGUCAACACACGGUUCUAGCAGCAGUGGCCGUUGGAUGUCCAUCCAACGGAUGCUGUGCUUCUUCUUUAAUCUCGGAUAUUCUAGCUUCACCCGCCCAAAAAAUGAUUCCUCCCCCUGACAUCUAGGGCGCACCAUUUCGGAAACUGACCUGUGGGCCUACUAAAUUGACACGUACCAAGGGCUUUGUCAACUUAGUCAAUGUAAAUGAUUCUAACUGCAGUGACCGUACGAUGUCCAUCCAACGGCCGUCGUGCUUCUUCAAUCUCUAGUCUUCUUGCUCCAGCUGCCCAAAGCAGCGCCGGUCGUGCCACCUGCUCCUGCCUCCCGUGGACGGCUGUGCUGCCGCAUAGGCCUCACCGCCCCCUACUACUCCCAUCGCUGGCCAGGCCAUCCCUCUACUCACCCACACCCCCUGUUAUUCCGCGGCGAUGGCAGCCUCACACCGCAACCGAACCAGUGAACCCUCGUACUCCUCUCCGCGCGGGCUUCCACUGCCACGUCUUCCCGGCUCCGUGUCGUCCCCUUCCUAGGCCUCGCCGUCGUCCACCGCCCUGGUGCUCUCGGCGCGGCGUCGUCAACGUGGUCAAGGAACGACUUCCAUCGGACAUGGACUAUAUGUGCAAAGGCUGACAGCUGGGUCCACGACGGCAGCAAGGAAGUGCCUCCUUAUUACGCGAAAAAUAAUGAUUCCUCCACCUCAUAGCAGGGACCCACCGGACGGGCCACCGUAUUUCGCGAGAAAAACGUUUCUCCCCUGACUGCUAGGACCCACCGGACGGCCACCGUAUUGCCUGAAAAAACGUCCCCCCGCUGUCAGCUCGGACCCACCGGAAGUGCCUCCUUAUUACGCACAAAAAAAAUGAAUACUCCCCCUGCUGGUUGGGACCCACCUUGGUGGGAGGCUGCCUUGUGCGCCUACUAAGUUGACGGGGAUGGAGUGCUUUGUCAACUUAGUCAAUAUGAACGAUUCUAACUCCAGUGAAUGUACGAUGUCCAUUCAACGGCCGUAGUGCUUCUUCAACCUCUGGUCUUGUUGCUCCAGCCGCCCAAAGCAGCGCCGGUCUUGCCGCAUGCUCCUGCCUCCUGUGGCUGGCUGUACUACCGCGGAGGCCUCACCUCCCCCUACUAUUCCCACCGCUGACCAGGCCAUCCCUCUACUCACCCACACCCCCUCUUAUUCUACGACGACGGCAGCCUCACACCGCAGCGAACGAGUGAACCCUCAUACUCCUCUACGCGUGGGCAUCCACUGCCGCGUCUUUCUCGGCUCCGUGUCGUCCCCUUCCUAGGCCUCGCCGUCGUCCACCGUCCUGGUGCUCUCGGCGUGGCGUGGUCAACGUGGUCAAGGAACGGCUUCCAUCGGACAUGGACUAUAUGUGCAGAGGCUGACAGCUGGGUCCACGACGGCAGCAAGGAUGUGCCUCCUUAUUACGCGGAAAAUAAUGAUUCCUCCACCUGACAGCAGGGACCCACAGGACGGGCCACCAUAUUUCGCGAGAAAAACGUUUCCCCCUGAUUGCUGGGACCCACCGAACGGGACACCGUAUUGUGCGAAAAAACGUUCCCCCCGCUGUCAGCUCGGACCCAUCGGAAGUGCCUCCUUAUUACGCACAAAAAAAAUGAAUACUCCCCCUGCUGGUUGGGACCCACCUUGGUAGGAGGCUGACUUGUGCGCCUACUAAGUUGGCGGGGAUGGAGUGCUUUGUCAACUUAGUCAAUAUGAACGAUUCUAGCUCCAGUGACCGUACGAUGUCCAUCCAACGACCGUAGUUCUUCUUCAACCUCUGGUCUUGUUGCUCCAGCCGCCCAAAGCAGCGUCGGUCUUGCCGCAUGCUCCUGCCUCCCAUGGCCGGCUGUGCUGCCGCGGAUGCCUCACCUCCCCCUACUAUUCCCACCGCUGGCCAGGCCAUCCCUCUACUCACCCACACCCCCUGUUAUCCUGCGGCGACGGCAGCCUCACACCGCAGCGAACCAGUGAACCCUCGUACUCCUCUAUGCGUGGGCAUCCACUGCCGCGUCUUCCCCGGCUCCGCGUCGUCCCCUUCCUAGGCCUCGCCGUCGUCCAUCGCCCUGGUGCUCUUGGCGCGGCGUGGUCAACGUGGUCAAGAAAUGGCUUCCAUCGGACGUGGACUAUACGUGCAGAGGCUGACAGCUGGGUCCACGACGGCAGCAACGAAGUGCCUCCUUAUUACACGGAAAAUAAUGAUUCCUCCACCUGACAGUAGGGACCCACCGGACGGGCCACCGUAUUUCGCAAGAAAAACGUUUCCUCCCUGACUGCUGGGACCCACCGAACGGGCCAUCGUAUUGCGCGAAAAAACGUCCCCCCCGCUGUCAGCUCGGACCCACCGGAAGUGCCUCCUUAUUACGCACAAAAAAUGAAUACUCCCCCUGCUGGUUGGGACUCACCUUGGUGGGAGGUUGACUUGUGCGCCUACUAAGUUGACAAGGAUGGAGUGCUUUGUCAAACUUAGUCAAUAUGAACGAUUCUAGCUCCAGUGACCGUACGAUGUCCAUCCAAUGGCCGUAGUGCUUCUUCAACCUCUGGUCUUGUUGCUCUAGCCGCCCAAAGUAGCGCCGGUCUUGCCGCAUGCUCCUGCCUCCCCUGGCCGACUGUGCUGCCACGGAGGCCUCACCUCCCCCUACUAUUCCCAUGGCUGGCCAGGCCAUCCCUCUACUCACCCACACCCCCUUUUAUUCUGCAACGACAACAGCCUCACACCGCGGCGAACCAGUAAACCCUCGUACUCCUCUACGCAUAGGCAUCCACUGCCGCGUCUUCCCCGGCUCCGUGUCGUCCCCUUCCUAGGCCUCACCAUCGUCCACCGCCCUGGUGCUCUCGGCACGGCGUGGUCAACAUGGUCAAGGAACGGCUUCCAUCGGACGUGGACUGUACGUGGAGAGGCUGAUAGCUGGGUCCACGGCCGCAGCAAGGAAGUGCCUCCUUAUUACGCACAAAAUAAUUAUUCCUCCACCUGACAGCGGGGACCCACCGGACAGGCCACCAUGUUUCACGAAAAAAUGUUUCCCCCUAACUGCUGGGACCCACCAGCUACAUCUUCGCACGCAAGGAAGUGCGUCCGGGUAAAAAAAUGAUUCGCCCCCCUGACUGCUGGACCCACCAGCUACAUCUUCGCACGCAAGGAAGUGCCUGACAGUUGGGACCCACCUGGUCGAAGCGUACGUAGCAUUGUCAUUCUGGUCGCGAACAUGUACGUACAUACUGGUCGAUGUAGAGGCGCGCACGUGUCGUAGUAGAGGCGCACACAUAGCAUGUACACGUACGUACAACGGCCAGUGUGCAAGAAAAAAAUACGGCCACGUACAUACAUACGGGAAGGGUCUCGAACGCCUACUCGCGCAUACGUACGGCCAGGGCUCGUGUACAUGGCUGGGUCGGAACGGGGAAACAGCGUUAUCGUCGAGUUCAUGGGGAGUCAACUGGCUGGGUCAGAACGGAAUGCGUCGUCGUGUUCAUCGGGAGGGCUUGGACGGAAUAGCCGAUGGAAACGAGACCUGGCGUACCGCAGAAUGGAGGAAACAACCUUGUGUUUGACCGGGCACGUUCAAAAUGGGAUCCUGUUCAUCUGGAGGGGUCUGGCGUACCGCAAAACGGAGAAAACGGACCUCCUACGGUCGAAAUGGGGUCCUGUUGAUCGGGAGGGGUGUGGCGUACCGCAAAACGGAGGAAACAGACUUGUGUUGGAGCGCUACGGUCGAAAUGGGGGUCAUGUUGGCGUACCGCAAAACGGGACUCCACGGAAUACUGUUCAUCUCCACCGUCGACCCCCUCCAGCCUCCACGGGCUACUGUUCAUCCACCCUCGACCUCCUCCAGCCUCCACCUGCGACUGUUCAUCCAUGGGUUCCUGUUCAUCCAGCCUCCACCGCGCGCUACUCCACCGGCUACUGUUUAACCAGCCCUUUCCACGGGCUCCUGUUCAACCACCCCUCCACGGGCUCCUGUUCAUCCAGCCCUCCACGGGGUGGUCCUGUUCAUCCUGCCCUUCACGGGGUCCUGUUCAUCCAGCCCCAACCGGCUCGAUCGAUCGGGGUCCUGUUCAUCCAGAGGCAACACCACGGGGUCCUGUUCAUCCACCCCCACCGGAAACUGUUCAUCCAAACCCCCCAGCAACGCUCACUGUUCAUCCAGAGGCAGUAUCGAUCGGCUUCAGUUAGCAGUAGUAGCGAAGGAAUCGCUCAAUCUGGUUCAGUUAACAACCAUCGAUCGAUCGCUCGGGUUCAGUAACGCGUAGCCUGCAGUGCAAUCGCUCGGGUUCAGUUAGAGCCCAAUGCCUCGCACCCACGCGAGUGCGUGUACGAGAGAAACGCGCAUCGCUCGGCCCCGACCACCCACCGUAACCGGGAACACCCCGAUAUUUUCCUUGCCCUCGCUUCUACAACGGUUUUUUCCGUCAUGGACGGCCCAAAGAAUGUCAUGCAGCUGCGUCUCCGGCCCGCCCAGGACGAAAAGCUCAUUUUCUGUCAUGAUUUUUUGUCAUAGAAGUAGGACCCCAUCACAUCUAUGAUGAUACCGGGUUUUGUCACAAUUAUCAUCACAGAAGUGUCAUAAGUAUGACAGAAAAAAUUUCGUUCGGCCCAAAAUGUCACGGAUGUAUCUUUUUUUUUGUAGUGAUAGUGUGGUGCUAUUUGGUCUGUUCUUGAUGAAUCUGGACCAAAUAGUUUUAGUACCGUGUUUUAGUACCGUGUUGUGCCAGUAGUUUUUUUUCGAGAAAACACAAAAGACCUUUGUGUUUCAUUUCAUUGAAAAGGAAGGAGUUUGGGUUACAAUCCUCCUAGGAGGCAAUCAUACAAUGCAAAAGGGUGAAAUCAGUGUACAUCGGUCUGGUGUGUGAGAGCACGAAGCCCCAGUGCUCCGGCUCUGGCCCAGAGGGCCGCUUCCUCCUUGAUCUUGGUCAUCAGUGCAGCAAUUGAGGGGCUGGCUCUCUCGAAGUCACAAUCAUUCCGGUGUUUCCAAAUCAUCCAGGGUAUGAGCAGGGUCGCGGAGGCGAGGCCCUUGCACAUGGGCUUUGGCGUGAACCUGUGCAAACAUUGCAAGUUGCUAAACAUGUUGGAGUUAUGUUAACCCUUUAUUGACUGAAAUCGGUUGCUCUUUACAAUGCACGAGUAUAGUUCCAUUAUUUGUGUGCUGCCAUAUACUACAUGUCAAAGUACAUGUACUACCCAGCUAAAGUGUAUUGAUAUAUAAUACUUGAAGUUGACAAUCUACAAUACUUGAAGUUGACAAAUAGUUGCACACAAGGUUUAGGAACACUCUUGCGGCGUUUUUAAACGCCGCUUAAGUGGUAUGGACAAAGUCAACGGUGAGAGCAAAAAAACAGGAAUCAAUAUAUAUUUGAGACUGCCCAAGGCAAAAAGCUACUCCGUAGGUGUUAACAAAACUACGAUAAAAGGCAUCCGUUGUCUCAUGUAGCAUAACUAGCCAUGUUUUCCUUGUCAAUACCUUUCUUAAAUUUAAGACCAUGGGAGCUCAAUUUUUGCUGUUUGGUAGUGAUGUAAACGCUCUUAUAUUUUUUUACGGAGGGAAUCCGCUUAAUAAUUUCUUGUUCCAGCCCCACCAUGCAUCCUAUUUUAUCCUGCAGGGAAGAAAAGCUUUGAGCCUGUUAAAGUGUAUGUACUAGUUAAACCUGCUGUCCUUGAGUUGGCAGUAAUCGAUCACCUUAUCCUAAUUAUCUAAUUCAGUUUGUUUAAACUUUGCAGAUCAAAAAGCAUGCUAGCUAGCUAGCACCCCUUUGAUCAAAAAGUUGAGCCCGGCCGGCGAGUAUGAUCAAAAAGUUGAUGCAAAUUAAAGCUCAAGGACGGACGAACUGUAGUAGGGUAUUACAUAUAUACAGAGACCAUUGAACUACUCAAUGCUGGCUACAAUACAAUGUAUGUUGAGAAUGGAACGAUCGAUCGGAAUAGAAUAAAAGCAGCAAUCAUGUGCUUUUCUUUUCAUUUUCCAACGAAAUCAUCAAAACAAAAACCUGAGAAAUUAAGCACAACCAUACAAGCAUCCUUUUGAUCAGUACAAGCUUCACACUCUGUUUUUUUUCCUUUUCCAACGAAAUCAUCAUCAGAACAAAAAGGGACCUGAGAAAUUAAGCACAACCAUACGUAGCAUAUAAGAGUAUCACACACAAACAAACCUAGUGUUGUUGUAAGCAUUUGAUCAUGCAUGACACGGAUCAGGGGAGGAUGCAACCAUACCAUACCAUAUGUUGUUGCAAGCAUUUGAUCAUACUCCAGCGCAGGGCAGACGCAUAUAAAUCAGGGGAGGAGGCAGUUGGCGGUGAUGGCGCGGUAGAAGCACAUGCGGAAUGUAGGAGCGUACACGAAGAUGCUGGCGUGGCACUUCCAGGCGAAAUGCCCAACGCAUGGCAGUAGUUCGUCGCUGAUCUCUACGCCGAUGCAGUGGUCCUCCUUCUUGGCCUCCUUGUCCUUGGCCAAGCACUUGUCCUGCAGGACGGCACCGAGGAAGCAUGGCUGGAAGGUAGACUCCCCGGUGACGGUGUUGAUGGCGAAGCACGUCAGUGCGGCGUUGGCGACGCAGGCCGUCUUUGCACUCUUGGUGCUUACGCCGACACAUAGUUUGUCCUCUGCCAGCGCCCGUGCCAGCGCCCGUGCCGGUGCCGGUGUGGCGGAGACGCCGGCGCCGCAUAUGAGCACUAGGACAAGGAGGGACUGGAAGGUGGUGGCCAUCGAGCUUAAGCUUGGUUGGUUUCUUCUUCUUCUUCUUCUUCUUUUUUCUUUAGGGGAGGGAGGAGGAAUCGAGCUUGGUUUCUUUCUUUCUUUCUUGGGUUGAUGAAGAGACUUAGCUUCAGAUCCCCAUAUUUAUAGUUGGGCUAAUCGUCCAUGGAAAUUUAGAUUUCUCAUUUUUGUUUUUUUUGACGUCAGCACACAAUGCAAGCCCAACCUAGUACUGAACAUAAUCUCAUAGCUUAGAUUCUAGCGAAAGCGACACAAUAUGCACAAGGCCAUAGUUUAGAUUUUGGUGAGAGCGACAUUAGGUACCAGAUCCAAAGUGGUGGAUUGAAUUGAAUGAAGAAAAAGAAAACAUCAUAAUCCAUCCUAGAAAGAAAGUACAUAUAGUACUGAAAUAAAAGUAUGUUGGCCUCCUUAUAUUUCAUGGCAAAAAUACUCGGCCAACUUGAAAAACACUCUGCAAAGACCAGAAACUCAUGUGGCUCUUCAAGACCUUCUAGAUUAGUUCAACUUGUGUGGGCUUGAUAUGUUUGUGUUCAUUCGCCCAAAUGUUCCUACAAAAAUCAUCAGGGAAUCGUCGACCAAUAGCAGAUGGAUUCUCAAAAGAGAAACAUGCACCCAAACUCAAUGCGGUGUAUUUCGACUCAAAAACAAAAAUUAUUAUGUGAUCAACAACUCUUUAGAUGAAGUAUAAACAUUUACGAUGUACAGCACGAAAGAUAUCUCCCAAAAAGCACUUUGACUUUGACUCCACCUCUCACAGACAUAGGAGCUUGGCAAACAAUUUCAUCGCCAUGAGCCAAACCACAAGUACAGAUCUGAAACCAGACAUUAGAAAGGAAGCAUUUCAUCGCCAUGCACUGAAUGAAGGUCACAUGCUAACCUAUACUAUGGCUGAGGACCACCCUACCUUGCCCCCACAAAGAGACCACCAUACCAGAUUUAUCCACAUGCCGAUAACGAGCUAAAAAUGAAGAGAAAAACCAUACCGGAUUAAUCCACAUGCCGGUAACGAGCUAAAAAUGAAGAGAAAAAAAACAUAAUAUACAUGCUAGCUGAAAACAUUAAAAAAAAACUGCGAUGUGAUUACUUAGGUGGUGCCAAACUAUAUCACCAACGGGCAACAUUUAACUACACUAGUUAUGUCUGGAGUACUGUUAUAGUAGUAAAGUUCACAACAAAGAAGAGGAUCCACGCUUCACUCAUGUCGGUAACCAAUAAAUUAGGGAUUUUUCCUCUUUUUCCUGGACAGCUCAGAUCCUGUUGGAUGGCCUCUCUGUCGAGACCAUUGAGUUUGACGACAGACUCCACUUGCCCUUUGAGCGUAUGAAGCUCCCUCAACCCGUAGCAACCAUGACACUGUAGUUAGUUUCACAAUCUUUGUCGACAAAGACAACUAUUUAUGUCACGAUUGAUUGACAAAACAAAAGCCGAAACAGAGGGUACGUGUCUGAGGCCGAUAUAACGUCACAAUCCUACAAGUAUAUUAUCAUCAAACAGAGGAGAGGAGGCUUUCCCUUUUCCUCCUGGCUGGCUAGAUUCCAAGCUCAACCCGGCCCAACCAACGUACACACGUACUCAUCACACUUGUCCAUCUAUCCAUCGUUUUUCUUUCUAACUUGCAUCUUCCCUCUCAACAACCAACCACUUUGGUUUGGUACUAGUGAUUUGGUUGGGGCCUGUCAUUGCUGGCCUCUUGAGAGGAAAUUACGCGCGCAUUUCUUUUUCUCAAAGGAAAAAAAAGAGAAAAAAAUGGCCUUACUUGAACAUGAUCUAUUCUAAAAAAACCCUCAUCUUCAUCUUAAAAUUUUUAAAAAAUUUCUCGUAUCACUUGAACAUCACAUCCAUCUCAAAAAGAAAGAAAAAACCCUAAAAAACUUUACGCAGAAAGAAAAAAAAAUCUCACUUUCAUCUACCAAAAAAAAUGUCAAAUAAAAAUAUGAACACCACAUCCAUCUCCAAAAGAAAAAGAAAAAGCCUAAAAACUUUUCUCAAAAAGAAAAAGAAAAUUGCCACUUCCAAAAAUAAUCUCUAAAAAAACUUUUCUCAAAAAUAAAGUUUCACUUCCAUCUUUCAAAAAUAAUCUCAAAAAGAAAAUCCAACAGUUUAUCACCGCGGCCAACCAGCAUGCACCACGUGGCCAUGCAGGCUGGCCGCCAUUCUCCCACGCGUUAAUGUGUGUGAUAUGAAUACGCUUUCCUUUCUUCCCUUUAUAAAUCCAAUAAAAGUUGAUUUUUUUUGGAUAAAGGAUGCUUUUGUUAACUUAUAAUGUAGCAUCAAGUAGAUACAAAAGUGAACUUAUGGUUAAGUUUCAAGACUGAAAAGAUUUGGAAGGCGCGCGCAAAGCUUAAGGCUACUCAUAGUGGGGAGUAUCAUAUAUUAGUAUUAUACAUAUGAUAGAGUAGUAUCAUAGAUUAUCAUUUAAUAGAUUAUCAUAGCAUAGUAUCAUAUAUUACUAGUAGUGCAUAGUAUCAUAGAGUACUACUCCCUUCGUUUAGGUGUGUAAGUCAUCUUACGUUGUGCACCGCGACCAAGGCGGAGAGGAAAACGAGAAAACUUAAUGUCUUUUUGCUAAUUAAUAGCAUUGCAUGCAAUGAACUAACCAUUGCAUGUCAUGUUUGAUAGUCUCAAGUCAUUGAAAGCAUGCACGGCCCACAUCUUUUAUUGGUUGAUAUGUCACAAAACAAGAAACGAGGAGAGAGUUAAUGUACCGUGCCUAAGUGUUUUGGGAUUAUUUGGUUUUCGUAAGGUGACUUACACACCUAGACGGAGGGAGUAUCAUAGAUUAUCUUAUUUAUUGUCAUGCAUGACACAAAGCAGCAUAUCAUUUAAUAUGAUAGGGUAUUGACCUAUAUUACUCUAACCCUCUCUCUCUUCUUUCAUUUUCUUUGCCACACCAGCGUGUUUGCUAUUCCCAAAUACAUGAUAGUACCUAAAAUACCACCAUUAUGACUAGCCUAAAUGUAGGUUAUUUUCCUCGCUCGUGCUUCGUGUACACAUUCUUACCGCCCAUAAUAAUCUAGCCAGGAAUCCGCAUCGGCCAUGCUGCCCCCGAUUUUGACCAACCGAAUAACCAUCCCUUCCGACUGUUGAGUAUAUAUUUUGUGUUCCAUGUAUAUUCGUAUUGUAGCCCACUUCCUAGUUGUGUAUAGUUGAUGUUAAUACCUACCCUGUAAUUAUAUAUACGUGCACCGGUACCUCAUCAAUACAUCGAUUAUUGUAUUGCCAACUUGUCCGUCUACACCCACCAACACCCACGGCUCACAACACACUCCCACUUAAAAAUCGAGCCCACCCAACACUAAUUCUCUUCACACUACUCCAGGGUGUGACUGAGUCAAAAUCGAGGGACACAAUCCAAAAUCAACGAUCCCAAUAUUGGAUGCGAGGCCUUUAAAAUUAUGAUGCAUGGUGAUAUAGAAGAUGUGUUCCUGAUUUUCUUCCCCCAUAAUACAAUACGACAACAAGGCAAAGCUGAAAGAUUGAAUGGACUUUUUACACAACUCCUUGCAUUUCCUAUGUUCCAUAUUAUAUUAUUAUUAGUAGGAGGAGGAUGUAGCAAGGAUCUUUGUGCCACACUCCUGAUCCGAUGCUCUGAACGUCCUUGAACUACAUAUUUAUCUACAAAUAUACAAUUCUAAUCCUUGCCGAUCGAUCAGGGAGCUUGAUUGACAGCUGAUAUACGUAUAAAGAAGAAGAAGAAGAAGAAAAGAAUGAAAGAAUUGUUUGAUCCUUCCUCUCUAGCUCUAGCUAGGCUAGCCAGUUGUUGAGGUGGUGAGCACGCGCGCGUGUCCUCAUCAAUGUCAAUGUCAGAGGGAGGGAGGGAGGGAGGGUCAGAGUGCGACGAUGGCGAGCAAUGCGAGCACGGCGAUGACGGCGCCCCACGCGGCGGCGGCCCUGGCGGCGCCGGAGUCGUCCUGGUGGGUGAGGUCGUGCCGGCCGGUGUCGAUCAUGAUCUUGAAGCGGCAGGUCCCCCGCGACGGGUUGGUGGUGGUGACCACGGAGAGGUUGUUGAAGCCGCAGGAUCCCUUCUGCUGGCUGGCGGACUGGAAGAACUGGUUGAAGGCGUAGGAGACGUUGCCCCGGACGUCGAGGCCGCCGCAGGAGGAGCCGGGGCUGAGGCUGGUGCAGUCGGCGUACUGGCACGCGUACCCGACGGCGCCGAUGAUGGCCGGGUCGGUGGGGCUGGCGUCGGGGCGGAGCACGCACCACUGCUUGGAGAGGUACCUGACGCCCUUGGCCGGCACGAUGCCCUUGCCGCCGGCGAGCCGGAGCGCGUACUUGGGCGAGCCGUCGUAGUUGAAGACGCCCCAGUGGCGCUCGAAGUUGCCGGGGUCGACGCUCUUGGCGUCCUUGUCCAGCAGCGCGAACACGUAGACGUCGGGCAUCUGGGGCCGGCGCGGGGUGCCCUUGCCGGCGACGAUGCGGUCGAAGAGGCCCUGGUUGAACUUGUGCGCUCCGGCGGCGUUGGCGUUGGCGUCGCCGUCGGUGGGCCAUCCGAUCUCGCCCACCACGACGGUGAUGUUCCCGAGGCCGUGCUUCUCGAGCGCGGCGACGAGGGUGUCGUAGUUGGCGUCGAAGACGUUGGUGUAGAGCACGUUGCCGUCCUGCACGCUGGCCUGGGAGGGGGGCGCGCCGGGGGCCGGGAAGAAGGCGUAGUCGCGCGGGAAGUUGGCGUCGGCGUCCAUGGAGAGGAAGGGGUAGAUGUUGAUGGCCAGCACGCCACCGCUGUCGAGGAGGAAGCGAACGAGGCUGGUCAUGAGGGCCGUGAUGUCCGGGCGGAAGUCGCCCGAGGAGGGGCGGACGUCGAGCGACUCGUAGACGUCGGCGUUGAGGGGCACGGUGACGCGCACCUGGCGGGCCAGUCCGGCCUUGACGAGCGCCGCCUGCAUGUUGUGCACCGCCGGGAGCGUGGCCGCCGAGAGCAUGUUGCGCACCUGGCGUGGUGACGAUGAUGAUGUUCUACCGGCGCAGGGCUUCGUCUAAACUCCGCGACGAUAUGACCGAGGUGGAAUAUGGUGGAGGGGGGCACCGCACACGGCUAAGGAACGAUCCGUAGAUCAAUUUGUGUGUCAUGGGGUGCCCCCUGCCCCCGUAUAUAAAGGAGCAAGGGGGGAGAAGGCCGGCCCUAGGAGGGGGCGCGCCAAGUGUGGAGUCCUACUAGGACUCCCUAGUCCUAGUAGGAUUCCACCUCCCUUGUUGGAGUAGGAGAAGGGGAAAGAGGGGGAGAGGAAGAAGGAAAGGGGGGAUGCGCCCCUNNNNNNNNNNNNNNNNNNNNNNNNNNNNNNNNNNNNNNNNNNNNNNNNNNNNNNNNNNNNNNNNNNNNNNNNNNNNNNNNNNNNNNNNNNNNNNNNNNNNNNNNNNNNNNNNNNNNNNNNNNNNNNNNNNNNNNNNNNNNNNNNNNNNNNNNNNNNNNNNNNNNNNNNNNNNNNNNNNNNNNNNNNNNNNNNNNNNNNNNNNNNNNNNNNNNNNNNNNNNNNNNNNNNNNNNNNNNNNNNNNNNNNNNNNNNNNNNNNNNNNNNNNNNNNNNNNNNNNNNNNNNNNNNNNNNNNNNNNNNNNNNNNNNNNUUUGGCCUCUCUCCUCUACUUCCGUAUGGCCCAAUAAGGCCCAUAUACUCCCCGACGAAUUCCCGUAACUCUCCGGUACUCCGAAAAAUACCCGAAUCACUCGGAACCUUUCCGAACUCCGAAUAUAGUCGUCCAAUAUAUCGAUCUUUAUGUCUCGACCAUUUCGAGACUCCUCGUCAUGUCCCCGAUCUCAUCCGGGACUCCGAACUCCUUCGGUACAUUAAAACUCAUAAACUCAUAAUAUAACUGUCAUCGAAACCUUAAGCGUGCGGACCCUACGGGUUCGAGAACUAUGUAGACAUGACCUAGAACUAUUCUUGGUCAAUAACCAAUAGCGGAACCUGGAUGCCCAUAUUGGCUCCUACAUAUUCUACGAAGAUCUUUAUCGGUCAAACCGCAUAACAACAUACUUUGUUCCCUUUGUCAUCGGUAUGUUCCCUUUAUCGAGCAGAAUUAUAUGAUUUGGUCUUUGUUAUCUUGUCUCCAUGCUGGAAGAAAUGGGAAUAUAUGCACUAGUUUUUACAUUCUUUUGUAACUAGGUAGGGUUAUUGUUGUGAAGGGCUUAAAAUCAGAGAAUGGUUUGAGUUGUCGAUUGUUUUUGUGCUGAGAUCAAAAUGCAUGUGAUUAGAUAAUGCGGUACUCUGGCAUGAUAUAGUGACUAUUCAUCAUGGUUAUGCUUCCGUUUCAAUUGUGAUUCAAUGAAUACGCUUCUUGGUAGUAUUGGUAGGUGAUUCUUUGUCUUCUUUGAUAGGAUUGAACAAGAAAAGAGUGAUAUUCUCUACAUGAUUUCUUACCAAAUGUUAGUGAUGUGCUUUGUGGUACUGAUAAGAAGUGUGGCAUGCUUGACCUAUUCCCAUGUGCUGGUGCUGCGUGCAGUGAAUAUAGGAAUACGAUGGCUUGACUGAUUGUGACUUGCCACAGAGCUUAUUUUAACAGAGCAUCAUGGAAGAAGCUUGGUUUCAAGUUGGUACGGUCUACUAGGUGACGUUUGAUUUUAUAGGCCUUUUUUCACCAAGGCAUGGGCUUGUGUAGUGUUGUCUUGGUGAUGUGCAAUGUGUAGUAUUCCGUUCUUAGAUGGUGAGGGAUGAUGUUGCAUUGCUGAAUGGGUUCCAGAACAUACAUUCGAGAAUUUUUUUUCAUUUGGUUUGGUCAAUAUUUAUCAUGAUUUGCUUAAAUCAUAUGUGUCGUGGAGUAGCUUCAAAUGCAUGUGUCGUGCAUAGUGCUUAUCUACCCUGAAUACAUGAUUACAUUCUUUACAGCCAUGGAACUUUGCUCACUUGUUUCCCCAAAGUUGUUCUUCUUCAUUUGUGUUCUCCCCAAUGCUGCAGAGGUGGCGUAGGUAAGAUAAGGCACUCCCUUCCUCUCCUAUGCUUCCUCUUCUGUUCUGUGUCUCCAUGGCCAUCGAGCCAUGGUAGGUUCUAUACUGGCCAUGCAAAUUUCUAGGGUUUGAGGCUAUGGUGAUGGUAUGUUGUGAUAACUAGUGCCACUAUUUCUCUUUUGCUCUUUGUGUCCACAUCCAUUGUGUCGUGGUGAGCUCCGUGCUCGCCAUCGUGCCAUGGAAAGCUCUAGUCUUUUGGGCUAUGGUGAUGGCCGCCCUUUGCGUGGAUUUAGCCCCGGAGAAUAAGUUUUUUAGUUUGACUUGUGGUUUAUAGAAUCAAUUAAUACACAAUCCAGCACUAUUUCUGGUUUGUCUACCGGAUUUUUUCAUUAUUUCCAUGCAGACUAUGUAUGCGAUGCACUUGAGACUUGACCUCUACCUUUCAAGUUUUGAUAAGCUCGAAUAUUGUUAUGCUAUAAUUUUGUGUUUUGUACAUUCGAGAGAGAUCUGACUAGGCUGUUACAGGUUGAGGGAACUUGAUAAGCUCAAGUGACAUGUGGAAUUUGGUUUGCCAACUAGAAGGCGCUCGGCAUCGAGACGGUCCAGCAGUCCGUACACGGUGUGAUGAUAAAACUUCCAUGAAUGCAUCAGCUACAACUACUUGGGUGAGUCCCUGAUCUGGGCUCCCAUUGUAUGCGUCCUACAUCUUGCUUAUCAACCCUCAACACAUGGUUACAUUCUUUAAAGCCAUGGACCUUUGCUCACUUGUUUCCCAAAGUUGUUCUUUCUUCAUUUGUGUUUUCCUCUUGCAGAUGCGAUCGUUGUUGUGAUAAAGCUGCAGUGGUGGUGUAGGUAAGAUAAGGCGCUCCCUCCCUCUCAUGUGCUUUCUCUUUCGCUCUGUGUGUCCAUGGCCAUCAAUCCGUGGUAGGUUCUAUGCUGGCCAUGGAAAUUUCUAGGAUUUGGGGCUAUGGUGACGGUCUGUUGUGAUAACUAGCGCCACCAUUUCUCUUCUUCUCUUUGUGUCCACGACGUGUCAUGGUGAGCAUUGUGCUCGCCAUCGCGCGAUGGCAAUCUGUAGUUUUGUUGGGCUGUGGUGAUGGUCACCAUUUGAGUGGAUUUAGCCCUGGAGGACUAAGUGUUUUAGAUUGCCUCAUGGUUCAUAGAAUUUAUUAAUCCCCAAUAUGGCACUAUUUCUUGUUUGUCCACUGAAUUUCUUCAUUAUUUCUGUGUAGACUAUGUAUGCUUUUUUGCCAGUUGCAAUUAAUUGUUCGCGGUAUUUGUUCUUGACCUGCAUAUUUGGAAUCAACUGGCCAGGAACCAGUCAAAUUUUCUUAUUUGUAAGGAAGGUAUGGGGGAAACAAAUAAUACCCUUUUGACAUUUUAUGAGAUAAAAGUGAGAUAGAAUAAUCUGCCAUGUGAAAUCAUCAUAUAUUCCCUAUCUGUGUUGGGCAUAAACCAGUCAUAUCUUCCUAACUUAGUUCUUGCCGUGUAUCUAGAAACUGGUUGCCUGAAGCUAUUCCCCAACUUCAUUGACCUACUGAUAUAAACCUUGAUGGAUUUUAGGUAUUUCUUAGCUUGGUUGGCCUACUGAGAUGAACACUUUUUCUUUUUUGUGAGACUUUGAGAACAGAGUCGUUGCUCUAUUUGUAAGGUGUGCGGAUGCAUAUUUGAGUCUUAGACUCCGCGGUGUCUCAGGUUGUUUCUUCUAUAUAUAAAAAAUGCCGCCAAGUGCUCCUGUUUGGUCCCCCUUUUCAUAUUCUGAAACCUUGAAAUAUAACUUCCUGUAAUUUUGUUAUCAUUCUGCAUUUCAAGAACCACCGAUUGUAAAGUUGAUUUGUAAAUCGUUUACGCAAUCUCUCGUGUUGUGCAUAAGUGUUAAGAGUGUAAAGUUUCAUCCAAUUCCUUUUUUUUCAUGAAUUUUAGGUUAUUCUUUGAGGUCUCCUAAUCUUCUACAACCUCGGCAGUGGUGGCUGCCUCUUCUUGGUUCAGGUAAGCCCUUGAUGUCCUAUCUCUCUCUUCCUCCGACAUGGUGUCUGGCCAUCAAGCCAUUGAUUUAGUGUUCAGAUCUACGGUGGUGGUCUUUCGGCGGUCCAUCAAGCCAUUGAUGUUCGUCCCUAUUAGCUGGCUGCGUUGAUUGUUUUGAAAUGUUAAGCAUUUUGGGCAGCUAAGGGUUUAGUUGGAUUCAAAAUGUGAAAACUAAGCCCUCGAACUAACCAAAUGUUGUCUCUCAGCUAUGGAGCAAAAUUAUAUGAUUUCGUCUUUGUUUAUUAUCUUGUCGCCUUGCUGGACGCAUGAUGGUAACCAUUUGAGUGGAUUUAGCCCUGGAAAAUAAGUGUUUUAGAUUGCCUCGUGGUUUAUAGAAUCACUUAAUCCCCAAUUUGGCACUAUGUCUAGUUUGUUUACUGAAAAUUUUCAUUAUUUCUGUGUAGACUAUGUAUGCGAUGCACUUGAGACUUCUGUACAUGCAUGCCUCGAAUAUUGUUAUGCUAUAAUUUUGUGUUGUGUCCAUUCGAGAGAGACCUGACUAGGCCAUUGCAGGUUGAGGGAACUUGGUAAGCUCAAGGGACACGUGGAAGUUGGUUUGUCAACUAGAAGGCGCUCGACAUCGAGACCGUCCAGCAGUCUGUACACGGUGGGAUGAUAUGGGCUUACAUGACUGCCUCCUCAGCUACAACUACUUGGGUGAGUCCCUGAUCUCACCUUCGUCCUUUGUUUGUUUUAGGCACUAGCUUUUGAGCUAUGGCCAUGCCUUGCUCUUUUCCGGCCAUCGAGCCAACGAUCUAGUGGUUGUUGUCUGUCCUAUGGUGCUAUGAUGUUAGUGUUUUCAUGUUCAGGUUUAGUCAUUUGCUAUGUGUUAAUGAUGAUGGUGAUUCUUGCAAAUGAUGUGCAAGGCAAAUUUCCAGAGUUGGAUGAAGAACUGUCAUACUGGAAGUUACUUGGUUGCUUCUAGUUGCUAUUGUCUAGUAGAUGAUAACUGAUUUACUAUGAUUUCUUAAGCUAUCUCUAGUGUUGUGCAUAAGUGUUAAGAGUGUAAAGUUUCACCAUGUUUUCCCAGGUAAUUUAGCUUAUUCUCUGAGGUAGCCUAAUCUUCUACAACCUCGGCAGUGGUGGCCACCUCUUCUUGGUUCAGGUGAGCCCUUUAUGCCCUCUAUUUCUCUCUUGCUUUGAGAUGGUGCCUGGCCAUCACGCCGUUGAUUUAGUGUUUAGAUCUGCGGUGGUGGUCUUCUGGCGGGCCACCACAAUCAUGUAAGGUUGUUGGAUUGAUUCUUUCGAAAUGUUAAGAAUUUUGGGCAGCAGAGGGCUUAGUUGUAUUCAAAAUGUGAAAACUAAGCCCUCAGCUAUGGAUCAAAAUUACUCCAUCCGUUUCUAAAUACAAGACCUUUUAGAGAUUUCAAUACGGAUUAUAUGCGGAUGUAUAUAGACACAUUUUAGAGUGUAGAUUCACUCAUUUUGCCCCGUUGUAAUCAGUAUUAUAAUCUCUAAAAAGGCUUAUAUUUAGGAACAGAGGGGGUACGAUUUAGUCUUUGUUUGUUAUCUUGUCGCCUUGCUGGACAAAAUGCGGUGGUUUCAGUCCUCAAAAAACUAGCAGCAGUGUUCACAUGAGCGGCGGUAUGAAGGGUGAUGAAAUAGUAGAUCACUUCCAUGUUUUUUGUAUUAAUUUACAUUAUUUGUCUUGGCUUGGAAGUUUCCAUGUUAUUGUUAAUUGUUUAUAGUAUUUCUUCUUGACCUGCAUAGCUGCAAUAAACUAUCAUGAACCAAAUGAAUUUUAUUAUUUUUAACGAAGGUUUGGGAGAAUCAAAUAGUACCAUUUUGGCAUUCUGUGAGGCAAAAUAGUCAUAGAAACAAUCAGUCCUGUGUAAUCAAUACAUUUACCCUAUCUCUAUUGGGCAUACACCGGCAAUAUCUGCCUAACUUAGUCCUUGAUAUGUAUCUAGAAACUGGUUGCCCAAAGCUAUUUCUUACUCGUUGACGUACUGAGAUAAACAUUGGUGGAUUCUAGGUAUGAAACCCACUUUUCAUAUUGUGAGGCUUUGAGAACUGAGCAGUCACUCUAUUGCGAACCUGUGCAGGUGCACGCUCGUGUCUCAGACUCCACAGGGCACCCAGGUUGUUUUGUCUAUAAAGAAAUGCCGCCAAGGGGCUCCUAUUUGGUCCCUUUUUUUAUAUUCCGAGACCUUGAAAUAUAACUUCGUGUAAUUUUUGUUAUCAUUCUGCAUUUGAAGAACCACCAAUUGUAAAGUUGAUCUGUAAAUUGUUUAAGCAAUCUCUUGUGUUUUGCAGAAGUAUCAAGAGUGUAAAGUUUCAUCCAGUUCUUUUUUUCCAGGAAAUUUAGGUUAUUCUUUGAGGUCUAAUCUUCUACAACCUCGGCAGUGGUGGCUGCCUCUUCUUGGUUCAGGUGAUCCCUUGAUGUCCGAUCUCUCUUUUGCUCUGAGAUGGUGUCUGGCCAUCAAGCCAUUGAUUUAGUGUUCCGUUCUGUGGUGGUGGUCUUCCGACGGGCCACCACAAUCAUAUGAGAGUGCUGGAUUUUUGUCCUAAUUAGCUGGCUGGAUUGGGUGUUUAAAACUGUUAAGCAUUUUGGGCAGCAAAGGGCUUAGUUGCAUUCAAAAUGUGAAAACUAAGCCCUCGAACUAAUCAAAUGUUACCUCUCUGCUAUGGAGCAAAAUUAUGUGAUUUGGUCUUUGUUUAUUAUCUAGUCGCCUUGCUGGACCAAAUGGGAAUAUAUGCACUGGUUUUUGACAUCAUGUUGUAGCUAGGUAGGGUGAUUGUUUUCAAAUGCUUAAAAUCAGAGAAUGGUUGGUUAGAGCUGUUGAUUGUUUUGACCCGUGAUCAAAAUGCAUGUGAUUAGAUAAUCCGGUACUAUAUGUCAGAACAUUUGGUCAUGAUAUAGGGUCUGUUUUGCUUUUGCCCAGGUUGGCCCUGCCAACGCACGGGCGAGCCAAAAAAUUGGCAUUGCUUUUCUGCGCCUGCGUCUUGCCGUCGCGUUGGCAAGAAAUUGAACCGGAGACCCGAGGGCAGCAUUGACAACGCAUGGGCUUUGAUCCAAACACCGCUGGGGCAGUUGGUCAACGCCAAUUAUUUGGCUUGGCAGGCUGGGGCUUCGAACCAAACUGGCUCAUAGUGACUAUUCAUCAUGGUUAUACUACUGUUGGAGGUGUGAUUCUACGGAUAUGCUUCUUGGCAAUGUGAGUAUUGGUAGGUGAUUGUUUAAUAGGAUUGUACAAGAAAAGAGAGAUAUUCUCUACUAGAUUUCUUACCAAAUCUUAGUUUUUGUUCUUUGUGCUGCUUAUAAGAAGUGUGGCAUGCCUGACCUAUUCCCAUGUGUUGGUGCUGUCCGCAGUGAUUAUAGGAAUACGAUGGCUUGACUGAUUGUAACUUGCCAUGGAGCAUAUUUUAGGAGAGCAUCAUGAGAUAAUCUUGGUUUCUAGUUGGUACUGUCAACCAGGCGAAGUUUUGUUUUAUAGGCCUUUUGCCACCAGGGCAUUGGCGUGUGUGGUGUUGUUUUGGUGUUGUGCAAUGUGUGUAUUAUUCCGUUCUUAGAUGGCGAGGGAUAAAGUCGUAUUGUUGAAUGGGUCCCAGAACACAUACAACUAUUGUUUUCAAUUUGGUUUUGUCCAUAAUUAAUAUGAUUUGCUUAAACCAUAGAUGUGUUGAAGUAGCUCCAAGUGUAUGGGUCGUGCAUAGUGUUGAUCUACCUUAACACAUAUUUACAUUCUUUAGAGCAAUGGACCUUGGCUCACCUGUAUAUAUUUAUUUUGUCAGCAUGCACCUCUUGUUGUUGACGCAUUAGAGAGAGGACCUGACACGUCCCGGCUGUUUCUUUGAAUAUUACAGGAGAUUAUAGCUACGGGGAGAAAAAAAAAGGUGGAAGUCGCAGGCUAAGGGAAGGGAAAGGUGAUACUCCACAUGGGAUCGAUACCAGGCUGAUGGGCUCGAUCUCAGCUGGGCAGUCGAGGAAAAACAGGGGAAGGAAGGAGGUGAAAUUAAGGCCCAAGUUUUGUUUGCCACAAGACUUGUUCCUUCAAGGGGCCAGGCCAUAUUUAUCUUGCUGCCGCGGACACAUGUUUUUUUUUAUGGUUGGUUUAUGACGAUUCACAACAAAAGUUGGCAUGCAGGCAGGUUGUAUGAUUAAGUUUGUGUGGUCUGCACUUUGGGUUGUUGUUGAUGUGUUUGUGAAACAUAGAUAUAUAUGCAAUCAAAGUGGGUGUAUGUCAAGUUUUCUUUGUUUGGUAUCGAACCCAAGGAGCGUAUACAUAUAUACUUUGAAGUUGUCGAUCGAAAUGGUUGUAUGUAUUGAACUCACUCAUCUACUGGUCCUUUCCUUGCUUAUUUAUAUUUGUGGAAUUUGCCGUGCCUCAUUGGAUUUAUUGUGUGCCUAAUUAUCAAACAUCAUUUUUUGGAGGAACUUGGCAUAUAUAGAUUGAAUUGAUGAUGAGUUAUGUAUUGGCUGCCCCAAGUUGGGUUAGUUAUAUUAGUUCCCCUGUAUGUAGAAUGUAUCCGAAUGUAUGUUAUUUCUCCCUCGUCAAUAAUCCAGUGAAACAUGCAUAUUCAUCUGUCCAUCAUCAGGUUUGGGUAUCUCUUGUACAGAAUGAACACAAGUUGGCACCAUGCAUCAAAGGAAGAAACUUAACAAUUAGCCGAUAUACAUGCAAGCAUCAAAAACACACUUUGAUAUGCAUAUACUCCCUCCGUCUCAUAAUGUAAGAUGUUUUUUUGACACUAUAUCAAACAAUUAGUUGGACUCUUUUCUCUCUUCUCUCUUCUCUGCCUUCACGCUUUGCUUGCCAGUGAUUUGGCUGGAUGCCCUGGUUGAUGGAGCAAGGGUAUUCCGGCUCAAAAAAAAAAAAAAAAAGAAACCAGAAGCUCCUUAAUUCUCUCGUCUACGCACGCGCGCUUCAUCUCAUCUCCGUUGUGAUCCAACCAUUGGCUAAUGCUUCCAUCCACGUCUAGCGGAAGCUCCUUAAUUCUCUCCUCCACUAAACUCCCUUUUCCUUUCCUGUGAAUGAAAUGAAUGUGUGUCUAGGGAUGCCCAUCAGGGAGGGAGCGAUGGAGGGCCUUGCUUGCGCCACCUCACCGAUCCGUGGCACUUUGUCCAUGGAGCGCGCCCCUCCUAGCUUGUUCUACUCAGCACGCCCGUGGCCAUCUUGUCUUAUAUAUACAACAAGUAGUCAUGUGUCCGCGUGCGACUUGGACUUGGAUCCGGCUCUGCUCGUUCAAUUCAAUUUCCCACUGUAAGCAGUUCAGUUUAAUUUUAUGGUCCGACUGUCCGAUUCCGCCGUUGAUUCUCACAGACACAGGUCGCGCGCGGUUGAAGAUGGGAGCGGGCGGAGAUCCAAUCCAUCAUCGUCGUCGUCAUAUUGAUUUCCAACGGUAAAUCUCUAAUUCCGCCAUUGUUUCGCGGUUCCUCUACUCUGAAUUUAUAGAUGCGGACGGGAAACAAGAGAUAAGAUGUGGCGCAUUCGAUCAGUCAGUCAGUGCGGUUUCAGUUUCAGUUUCAGAUAGGUUGGCCAAGGAGUGCGGUUUCAACUCUGCAUGCAGAUCAAAAAGCAUGCUAGCUAACUAGCUAGCACCCCUAGCUUUGAUCGAAAAUGUCAAGGGAGCCGAGCCUGAGAAGAGAGAUGCGAUGCAAACUAAAGUUGAAAUCUUAUAAAAAUUAUUAUCAUUUCCUCAUCUUUCCACUGGUCUGUACCUAUAAACCGAAGGAACCCAUGUGUUGUCUCAGAAAUCAAUUAGCCGAAUAACAUAAAAACUGGAGAUCUAAAAAACUAAGCCAAACGCUCUAUACAUGAUCAACUUAGUUAUGACCACAGUUCUCAGAUAAAACAUUCGAACAUUCUAACGUAUCAUGACCACUCCGUGCCUUAUUUACCUGAGACUUUUGGUCUGCAGUAAUUAGCAGAGUUGAACCUGAAAACUUGAGUAGAGAAGUAUAAGCAUAUGGUUUUUUUAGGUGAAACACAAAAGUAGAAGCAUAUGUUUUCCUAGGGGAAACAGAAAGUUAACUGGAAGUGACCGUGUGGUACCUGCAGAUCAUCGUGUCGCUGGGCAGCGGGCCAUGGGACCAGCUCUUCGGCGGAGGGAACGCGCCAUCCUUCUGGGUGGCUGCCGCGGCCUCCUUUGUGGGCGGGCUAGUAGCCAUCCUGGGGCUCCCGCGGGCCCGGCUCGGGCCGAAGAAGAAAACCACCCAACGAUGAUGAUUCGAGCUGAGUAUACAGAGACAUUGUUAUGUUGCAGACAAGGAAGGAAGGCAGGUUGGUCUCAAGUUGCAACCAUUCAUUCUUUGCACACUGGUUCAAAGACACCGGGAACGCUGCCUACACUACACUACACUACACUUGUCAUCAUCAAGUUGGGUUCGGUUCAAAUUCAAGGCCAAAAGUAGGAGGGCUCUGGAAUUUUCCUCCAUGAGCUCUAUCGUCGCCUUUUUUUCGCUUGUCGGUGUGAAACAUGGUCGGUCAUAUGUUGUUGUAUAUCGGAUAUUUUGCCAUUUUGUCGGAGAUUAUCAACCAAUCAAUAAAAGUUGCAGGGUUUUGUUUGAGAUUAUUGUUCAUGAUUUCCUUUCUUUCUUUCUUACUUUGGCCUUGUUGACAAGGGAGGCCUCAGCACGCCUGUACCGAGACAUAAUACAUCUAGCCUAUAGCGUGGACAUAUUGGGCAGGUCUAACACUGUAGCUGCGUGCAAGUUUUUUUUAAUUAUUAUUAUU
rnacentral:lncRNA from 1 species